rnacentral:rRNA from 1 species
UACGUAGGGUGCAAGCGUUAAUCGGAAUUACUGGGCGUAAAGCGUGCGCAGGCGGUGAUGUAAGACAGGUGUGAAAUCCCCGGGCUUUACCUGGGAACUGCAUUUGUGACUGCAUCGCUGGAGUGCGGCAGAGGGGGAUGGAAUUCCGCGUGUAGCAGUGAAAUGCGUAGAUAUGCGGAGGAACACCGAUGGCGAAGGCAAUCCCCUGGGCCUGCACUGACGCUCAUGCACGAAAGCGUGGGGAGCAAACAGG